AACGUAGGGGGCCAGCGUUGCUCGGAAUUACUGGGCGUAAAGGGUCCGUAGGCGGUGUGGCAAGUCGGAAGUGAAAUCUCUGGGCUUAACCCAGAGGCUGCUUCCGAAACUGCUGUGCUAGAGUGUGAGAGAGGCGAGUGGAAUUGCGGGUGUAGCGGUGAAAUGCGUAGAUAUCCGCAGGAACAUCCGAGGCGAAAGCGGCUCGCUGGAUCACAACUGACGCUGAGGGACGAAAGCUAGGGGGAGCAAACAGG
rnacentral:rRNA from 1 species